UUCNGCCUGUGUUUGCUAUGACCUUGAC
rnacentral:piRNA from 1 species